CAAGCGCUGGCUGUAAUGCGCCCGUUUUAUCGUAGCCGCUAAGCUCCACUUCCACUGUGCCCAGUCAACUCUACACCUUGCUAUUGUUACUGCGCGCACUUUGUUGUUUUGGUCGGUUGAAUGGGUUUGCAGUCAUCGGCAUGUUUCUGCUUGAUUGACCAAAGUGAGCAUUGUUGUUGAGGGCUUUGCUUUGUUGGAGUUUUCGGAUUUUUGGCAAAUUGUCUGUUUACACAUAUUGAGGUUUUGGAGGUUCAGUGCGUUAAUUUUUUACUUUUUUUUUUAAUAUAAAAGAAGAUUUUUUGUAGAAAAGUUGUCAGCAUGACAUUUUCGUAUUUUGAAUUUUGGUAGAUUAUUGGAUGUAGUCGAAAAUCUUUUCGUAUUUCUAAUCAAGCUUCAAUUUAUUUUUUUAUAUUUGUAAUGAACUUUAAUGAACCAAAUAUGUACCAUUUUGGUCGGUCACUUUUAGCCAUUUUUCCGCUAGAGACAUUAUUCCACCAGUGUAAAACUUUUCUGAUUUCUCGGCGAAAAACUGCGACAAGUAAUUUUCACAGGCUUCUCUUAAAGCCAACUUUACUCCAUUACGGGAGCUCUGCAUUGACCGAAACAAAUGGUAGUCCGAUGGUGCAAGGUCAGGGCUAUAUGGUGGAUGCAUCAAAACUUCCAAGCAAAGCUUUCACAGUUUUUGCUGAAUCAUCAAAGAUGUGUGUGGCCUAGCGUUGUCCUGAUGGAAGACGAAGCCCUUUUUGCUGAUGAGUUCUAGCCAUUUAUUCCCAUUGCUUGUUUCAAUCUCAUUAGUUGUUGACAGUAAAAUGUAGAAUUAAUCGUUGGAGCAGGGUGGAGCAGUUCAUUCCUUUUGAACCCCUCCAAAGACUCAGCAUAACCUUUCGAGGCUAUGCUUGAGCUUCAUCACGCUUGGACCAUGAUCUUUUUCGCACAUUAUUAUCGUAUUUGAUCCACUUUUCAUCUCCAGUUACCAUUCGCUUCAGAAAUGGUUCGAUUUCAUUUCGUUUCAGCAAAGAAUCGCAGAUAUUAAUUCGGUCCAUUAAAUUUUUCACAGAUAACUCAUGUGGUACCCAAACAUAGAGCUUUUUUUUGUAGCUAGCCUUUUUUAAAUGGUUCAGAACUGUUUGAGAUGUCAUAGCUACUUAUGUCACGGUCCUGGUCGACCAAACCGAGGAUGCGUCUUUCACCACUGAUUUUUGAAAUGUGCUCAAUAUUCGACCUUUGGUCGAGGAUCAACAAGAGGUUGUUACCAACGAAAUGAGUCAAAAUUUUUUUCGUCCAAAACUGAUUUUCUCUCUCCUCCGUUUUUCUGAACGACAACUUGUGGGUUUCUCAAUCCAAAGAUACGCCAAGACG